UACGUAGGGGGCGAGCGUUGUCCGGAAUGAUUGGGCGUAAAGGGCGCGUAGGCGGCCGAUUAAGUCUGAAGUGAAAGUCCUGCUUUUAAGGUGGGAAUUGCUUUGGAUACUGGUUGGCUUGAGUGCAGGAGAGGUAAGUGGAAUUCCCAGUGUAGCGGUGAAAUGCGUAGAGAUUGGGAGGAACACCAGUGGCAAAGGCGACUUACUGGACUGUAACUGACGCUGAGGCGCGAAGGCGUGGGGAGCAAAC
rnacentral:rRNA from 1 species